GUUUGAUCCUGGCUCAGGAUGAACGCUGGCGGCGUGCUUAACACAUGCAAGUCGAACGAUCCUUCGGGAUAGUGGCGGACGGGUGAGUAACGCGUGGGAAUCUGCCCUCAGGAGGGGGAUAACGGCUGGAAACGGCCGCUAAUACCCCAUAUGCCGAGAGGUGAAAUGAAUUUCGCCUGAGGAUGAGCCCGCGUCUGAUUAGCUAGUUGGUGGGGUAAAGGCCUACCAAGGCAACGAUCAGUAGCUGGUCUGAGAGGAUGAUCAGCCACACUGGGACUGAGACACGGCCCAGACUCCUACGGGAGGCAGCAGUGGGGAAUUUUCCGCAAUGGGCGAAAGCCUGACGGAGCAACGCCGCGUGAGGGAUGAAGGCCUCUGGGCUGUAAACCUCUUUUCUCAAGGAAGAAGACCUGACGGUACUUGAGGAAUAAGCCACGGCUAAUUCCGUGCCAGCAGCCGCGGUAAUACGGGAGUGGCAAGCGUUAUCCGGAAUUAUUGGGCGUAAAGCGUCCGCAGGCGGCCUUGUAAGUCUGUUGUCAAAGCGUGGAGCUCAACUCCAUUUAAGCAAUGGAAACUACAAGGCUGGAGUGUGGUAGGGGCAGAGGGAAUUCCCGGUGUAGCGGUGAAAUGCGUAGAUAUCGGGAAGAACACCAGUGGCGAAGGCGCUCUGCUGGGCCAUAACUGACGCUCAUGGACGAAAGCCAGGGGAGCGAAAGGGAUUAGAUACCCCUGUAGUCCUGGCCGUAAACGAUGAACACUAGGUGUCGGGGGAAUCGACCCCCUCGGUGUCGUAGCCAACGCGUUAAGUGUUCCGCCUGGGGAGUACGCACGCAAGUGCGAAACUCAAAGGAAUUGACGGGGGCCCGCACAAGCGGUGGAGUAUGUGGUUUAAUUCGAUGCAACGCGAAGAACCUUACCAGGGUUUGACAUCCUGCGAACCCCUGAGAAAUCGGGGGGUGCCUUCGGGAGCGCAGAGACAGGUGGUGCAUGGCUGUCGUCAGCUCGUGUCGUGAGAUGUUGGGUUAAGUCCCGCAACGAGCGCAACCCACGUCUUUAGUUGCCAGCAUUCAGUUGGGCACUCUAGAGAGACCGCCGGUGAUAAACCGGAGGAAGGUGUGGAUGACGUCAAGUCAUCAUGCCCCUUACAUCCUGGGCUACACACGUACUACAAUGCUACGGGCAAAGGGCAGCAAGCUCGCGAGAGUUAGCAAAUCCCAUAAACCGUGGCUCAGUUCAGAUCGUAGGCUGCAACUCGCCUACGUGAAGGAGGAAUCGCUAGUAAUCGCAGGUCAGCAUACUGCGGUGAAUACGUUCCCGGGCCUUGUACACACCGCCCGUCU
rnacentral:rRNA from 1 species